AAGACGUGUGUGUCAAGC
rnacentral:snRNA from 1 species